GAGGGAAAAGCUCAAAUUUAAAAUCUGGUGGUUCCUUGUGACCAUCCGAGUUGUAAUUUAGAGAAGUGUUACCCGCGCUGGACCGUGUACAAGUCUCCUCGAACGGAGCAUCAUAGAGGGUGAGAAUCCCGUAUAUGACAUGGACUCCCAGGGCUUUGUGGUGCGCUCUCAACGAGUCGAGUUGUUUGGGAAUGCAGCUCUAAAUGGGUGGUAAAUUCCAUCUAAAGCUAAAUAUAKGCGAGAGACCGAUAGCGAACAAGUACCGUGAGGGAAAGAUGAAAAKAACUUUGGAAAGAGAGUUAAACAGUACGUGAAAUUGUUGAAAGGGAAACGCUUGAAGUCAGUCGCGUCUCUCAGAGAUCAACCUGGCCUUUUCGCUUGGUGCACUCUCUGUGGGAUGGGUCAGCAUCAAUUUUGACUGGGGGAAAAAGUUGGUGGGAAUGUGGCACCCUCGUGGUGUGUUAUAACCUGCUUGCAUAUACCUCUGUUGGGAUUGAGGAACUCAGCACGCCUAACGGCCGGACUUUUAGUCACGUACGUGCUUAGGAUGCUGGCAUAAUGUCUUCAAUCGACCCGUCUUGAAACACGGACCAAGGAGUCUAACAUGCGCGCGAGUGUUUGGGUGAAAAACCCAAGUGCAUAAUGAAAGUGAAAGUUGAGACCUCUGUC
rnacentral:rRNA from 1 species